rnacentral:rRNA from 1 species
UACGGAGGGUGCAAGCGUUAUCCGGAUUCACUGGGUUUAAAGGGUGCGUAGGUGGGAAUGUAAGUCAGUGGUGAAAUCUCCGUGCUUAACACGGAAACUGCCAUUGAUACUAUGUUUCUUGAAUUUUCUGGAGGUUUAGCGGAAUAUGUCAUGUAGCGGUGAAAUGCUUAGAUAUGACAUAGAACACCAAAUUGCGAAGGCAGCUCACUACGGAUUUGAUUGACACUGAGGCACGAAAAGCUGGGGGAUCAAAACAGG